ensembl:lncRNA
CCAUGACGUUGUUGUCCUCACAAAGCGUGUUGUCUCUUCCUUUCCCUGGGAGGCUUGGGGUUAAUCAAGAAACCCAAACAGGGAUGACCCAAGAUUGAACUAGUCUGGCAAAAGGAAUAGUACAAGGAAGAAAUCGGCCAAGAGCUGAACCCAUUCCAACAAACAAGGGUAUUUCUUGGGCAUGUGCCAGGGUGCACCAACCCAGAGAGCCUCUAAAGUGGAGUCUGGAGGAGGAAGGAGAGAAACGGGAAACUUAUUUUUGAUGCUGGCGCUCUCGAAGACGAGAAGGAACCUGCCUAUUCUUAGCCGCGUCUGGGGGCUCAGCGAAAGCUCUCUUACUGAAUUAUAGACAAGGCGAACAUUCAUUAACUCCGGCCGCUUGCAACCAGGCUGCUAAGCAGAUUCCGGGAGAUGUUAUCUGGAAGGUGCAUCUGUGUAUACAUAUUUCAGAGCAAGUUUCCAGAGACUUCUGACCUCUUCUUGCCAUGUUGCCUUUUCUACUGUACGGCUGGACCAUCCACUUGCAUCGGGGAGGAACGUGUUUGGCUGCAGGUAACAGAACAGCCAGCCCCCGUGGCUUAGAUCAGGGAUUUCAAAACUAAUGGAUAAAUAGUCCAAGGCAAUUUCAGUGGCUCACUGAUCCGGUCUCUUCCACUUUUCCCUCUCCAUUCGUUGUCAUGCUUAUAGCCCCACGAAUGCAAAACACCUCUUGUACCUUCAAGCUGCAUGGUCCGCAUUCCGGGUCUGGGGGGGGACAUUCCAGAACGAAUGAGCAGACAGCAAGCUUUGUCAGAGAUCUUCCGGCUUACGUCACGUUAGGCAGCACUGAGGGAUGUGGCUGCCCCUGACCCCCCAGAGCCUGAGAUCACAAAUAUUACUACUAACGGAGCACGAUUGUAGUUUGGGGGUGGGUAUGGGGUAGGAAGCCAGUAGCAGCUGUCGCCGUGCUGUUCAAGCUGCCGGACCUAAAACUAGCUACCAUUUGAAGAAACUGAGCGCUGAUGAACGUUUGAAAAAAAUUAACUGCGAUCACUGGGGACAGUACGUGCUGGGGACGGUGUUAAAUGGGUUUCUACACGGCUCGUUUCGCUUAGUCCAUAAAACCCAAAAGCAGAGAUUUUUUCUUUUAAUGUUUAUUUAUUUUUGAGAGACAGAGACAGAGCGCGAGCAGGGGAGGGGCAGAGAGAGAGGGAGACACAGAAUCCGAAGCAGGCUCCAGGCUCUGAGCCGUCCGCACGGAGACCAACAUGGGGCUCGAACCCACGAACCGUGAGAUCAUGACCUGAGUGAGCCAGAGUCGGACGCUCAACCGACGGAGCCACCCAGGCGCCCUGAAGCAGAGAUUCUUAAUAUUCUCAGUGACUUCAUUUCAAUUUCUCAAGUACGUCGUGUUAUUCUCCAUCAUGGGGCGUUUUUACAAGCUGUCCCUACUGCCUAGAAUGUUCUCCCUAGACCCCUUGGUCCAGUGGCAUACCGGUAAACAUUUAACAACGGGAGGGAGGCAGAAACAAAAAGCAAAAAGUGACCUGCAGCGUUUGUCAAUUUCUGUGGUGUAAAUAUGGCCGCCAUGGCCGACGUCAAG